CCUUUGCGAGCCGUGGAGUUAAAUCAUACAAUGCGUACGUUGUGAGCGAGCUGGUAAACGAAACCACUUUACUGCUGCUGCUACUAUCACUUUUACGGGAACUUUCAAAAUUAAACAUAUAUGAGUAUGAAUCGGCUCACCAAACUUUAUAUGCACGUCCGUUGCUUUCGUUCAUAGAUCAUGUGCGUAGCUUUGCAACCGUGACCGAUAUUGUAAAAACAGCAAGAAGACAGAUGACACAAGUAAUGUGUCUGCUUUAAUUGUUGUAUGUGCUGUGUUUAGAAUAUCAACCAACCCCGCGCAGUUACAGCUAAAACGUGUUUUUUCUUGCUGCAUGAGGAGCAUUUGCUUCUAAUUGUGGCAGUAACGUUGUGAAUUGUCCUCGGCCCAGAUCGCUGACUGUCUGCAAACUUGUCUAAUUUGUUUCACUUUGCUGCUGUCUUUACAGCUUCUGCUUAUUUCCUCUGCCUGCACCUUAUAUUUGUUGUGUUUAUCGAGACCUGGCCUGUCUCUGCCUCGUUGAAGACAAAUGGACACAAGUACUGGUUGCUGUUGGUUUGUUUGGUUUGCUCAGUCUGAGCGUGCUGCAGAGCACUUGACCACUGCAGCAGUCAAGCAUGCUGUAUAUUGGGCAGUGCCAGGAAUUGCGAGAUCGAGACAGGCUGCCACUAGAAGUUCCUUGGGCCAGAUAAGGGAGGCAGCUUUUGCAUCUGCAACAGAACAUUGGUGGAUGUUGUGUGAAGCACUUUCUCCAUGCUUUUUCACUACCUGAGCAAGGUAACUUUCUUGGUGCUUCAUCACGCAAUUUAUACAAUCAACUUCCAUUAAUUCUACCCUCACGAGACUGACGGGUCGAAUUAAGAUGCAAAAACCUGCUGAAGCACCGUUGAUUCAUUUGGCAAUAUGUGCUUGAGUAACACGCUUCUGAAACGAACGUGCAUCAAAUUUCUAUUUGUCCACAGUAUAAAACUAAAGUAGAAAUGACUUAACCCCAAGCCAAAGUAGAAACCUACGCGUACCUCAUUUUUUAGAAUGCCAGCUGAUUUUCCAAAGCCAGCUUCGCCGUAUUACAGCCGUGAUAUGUGGUAAAGCAUAUGAAUGGUGCAACCACGGUUUUAGUUUCGCAAUCGAUUGCACAGCUAGGCAAUUUUCGUCUCAAUGUCCUUCGAAAACAAAAAGUGUUCGUUAGAAUCAGAUAAGUACCACAAUCGGACAUUGUCAGCUACCGUUACUGCUUGAAAAUCUUUCUCGGGUGGGUCAAAAAUAGGCAUUUCAGAGAGAUGGCAUUUGUUUAACGCAUUCACUGUCCCCUAAGCUCUACUGAGACGUGGGCUGCCACUAAAAGGGGUCAUUAUUGGGGUCUGGUCAAGUUCGCAUUAUCCGGCGAAUGCCAGUUUUAGGAUCGAAAUGAUGAAUGUUUAAUCCCAUAGAAAUGCAUGGGCGUCGGCCAGGUUCGAAUUAACUGAAAAAAUUAAAUUAACCGGAGUCAGAUUAUUGGAAGUUUACUAUACACCCUUUUCUGUUCUCCAAGAAGUUGCCAUUUUAAUAUGUAGUUUUCUUCUGUCAGUGUGGCAAUGGUGCUAAAUUUAGCAUUUGUUUGAAUCAUCCAUUGUUCAAGGACAAGCUACAAAGUAGGGGCAUACUUUGAGACUUGAAACAUUUCCACAUAUAAAGGCAGGGCAUGUUAACAUCUGUACAAUUAACAUAAGUUGGCUGUAUUGUCUGCAUAGCAUGUGGUUGCUUUUUUGGAAUGUGGUCUUUCUGUAAAACAAAGUUGCAUUUGUUUCAAAUAAAUUGCUGAACCAUU